rnacentral:rRNA from 2 species
GACAGAGGGUGCAAACGUUGUUCGGAAUUACUGGGCGUAAAGCGCGUGUAGGCGGCUAUGCAAGUCGGGCGUGAAAGCCCUCGGCUCAACCGAGGAAGUGCACUCGAAACUGCGUAGCUAGAGUCUCGGAGAGGAAGGUGGAAUACUUGGUGUAGAGGUGAAAUUCGUAGAUAUCAAGUGGAACACCGGUGGCGAAGGCGGCCUUCUGGACGAUGACUGACGCUGAGACGCGAAAGCGUGGGGAGCAAAC